rnacentral:rRNA from 1 species
GAUGAACGCUGGCGGCGUGCCUAAUACAUGCAAGUCGAGCGAACGGACGAGAAGCUUGCUUCUCUGAUGUUAGCGGCGGACGGGUAAGUAACACGUGGAUAACCUACCUAUAAGACUGGGAUAACUUCGGGAAACCGGAGCUAAUACCGGAUAAUAUUUUGAACCGCAUGGUUCAAAAGUGAAAGACGGUCUUGCUGUCACUUAUAGAUGGAUCCGCGCUGCAUUAGCUAGUUGGUAAGGUAACGGCUUACCAAGGCAACGAUGCAUAGCCGACCUGAGAGGGUGAUCGGCCACACUGGAACUGAGACACGGUCCAGACUCCUACGGGAGGCAGCAGUAGGGAAUCUUCCACAAUGGGCGAAAGCCUGACGGAGCAACGCCGCGUGAGUGAUGAAGGUCUUCGGAUCGUAAAACUCUGUUAUUAGGGAAGAACAUAUGUGUAAGUAACUGUGCACAUCUUGACGGUACCUAAUCAGAAAGCCACGGCUAACUACGUG